UGACCCUAACGGGUCACCUAGCCAACUGACGUUGUUAGUGAAUAUAAUAUUCACAUUCUGACAGCCAAUAGACUUUAUUUCUAUUGGCUAUUUUUUU
rnacentral:sRNA from 1 species